UACGGAGGGUGCAAGCGUUAUCCGGAUUCACUGGGUUUAAAGGGCGCGUAGGCGGCCUUCUAAGUCAGACGUGAAAUCCCUCGGCUCAACCGGGGAACUGCGUCUGAGACUGGAAGGCUUGAAUCCGGGAGAGGGAUGUGGAAUUCCAGGUGUAGCGGUGAAAUGCGUAGAUAUCUGGAGGAACACCGGUGGCGAAGGCGGCAUCCUGGACCGGUAUUGACGCUGAGGCGCGAAAGCCAGGGGAGCAAACGGG
rnacentral:rRNA from 1 species